rfam:Oryza meridionalis cultivar OR44 (W2112) chromosome 12, whole genome shotgun sequence.
AAAAAGACAAACCCUAGGUUAAGUUUGCGUGUCCAACUUUGACUGUCCGUCUUAUAUGAAAUUUUUUUAUAAUUCGUAUUUUUAUUGUUGUUAGAUGAUAAAACAUGAUCAAUACUUUGUACGUGACUUGUCUUUUUAAUUUUUUUCAUAAUUUUUUUGAAUAAGACAGAUGGUUAAACAUUGGGCACGGAAAUCAGGGUUUGUCUUUUU